rnacentral:rRNA from 1 species
CCUACGGGAGGCAGCAGUGAGGAAUAUUGGUCAAUGGGCGGGAGCCUGAACCAGCCAAGCCGCGUGAGGGAAGAAGGUCCAGCGUAUCGUAAACCUCUUUUGUCAGGGAACAAAGGCGGGGACUAGUCCCCGGCUGAGGGUACCUGAAGAAAAAGCAUCGGCUAACUCCGUGCCAGCAGCCGCGGUAAUACGGAGGAUGCGAGCGUUAUCCGGAUUUAUUGGGUUUAAAGGGUGCGCAGGCGGCCUGUUAAGUCAGCGGUAAAAGCCCGGGGCUCAACCCCGGCGAGCCGUUGAAACUGGCGGGCUGGAGUGGGAGAGAAGUACGCGGAAUGCGCGGUGUAGCGGUGAAAUGCUUAGAUAUCGCGCAGAACCCCGAUUGCGAAGGCAGCGUACCGGAUCAACACUGACGCUGAGGCACGAAAGCGUGGGUAUCGAACAGGAUUAGAUACCCUAGUAGUC